AGAGCGAACGCUGGCGGCAGGCUUAACACAUGCAAGUCGAGCGGGCGUAGCAAUACGUCAGCGGCAGACGGGUGAGUAACGCGUGGGAACGUACCUUUUGGUUCGGAACAACACAGGGAAACUUGUGCUAAUACCGGAUAAGCCCUUACGGGGAAAGAUUUAUCGCCGAAAGAUCGGCCCGCGUCUGAUUAGCUAGUUGGUGAGGUAAUGGCUCACCAAGGCGACGAUCAGUAGCUGGUCUGAGAGGAUGAUCAGCCACAUUGGGACUGAGACACGGCCCAAACUCCUACGGGAGGCAGCAGUGGGGAUAUUGGACAAUGGGCGCAAGCCUGAUCCAGCCAUGCCGCGUGAGUGAUGAAGGCCCUAGGGUUGUAAAGCUCUUUUGUGCGGGAAGAUAAUGACGGUACCGCAAGAAUAAGCCCCGGCUAACUUCGUGCCAGCAGCCGC
rnacentral:rRNA from 1 species